UGCGUAGGGGGCAAGCGUUGUCCGGAAUCAUUGGGCGUAAAGAGCGUGUAGGCGGUUCGGUAAGUCGGCUGUGAAAGUCCAGGGCUCAACCCUGGGAUGCCGGUCGAUACUGCCGGACUAGAGUUCGGAAGAGGCGAGUGGAAUUCCCGGUGUAGCGGUGAAAUGCGCAGAUAUCGGGAGGAACACCUAUGGCGAAGGCAGCUCGCUGGGACGUUACUGACGCUGAGACGCGAAAGCGUGGGGAGCAAACAGG
rnacentral:rRNA from 1 species